rnacentral:tRNA from 1 species
GCCAGGGUGGCGAAAUUGGUAGACGCACGAGACUCAAAAUCUCGCGGUGGUGACAUCAUGUCGGUUCGAUUCCGACCCCUGGUA